rnacentral:rRNA from 1 species
UACGAAGGGGGCUAGCGUUGCUCGGAAUCACUGGGCGUAAAGGGUGCGUAGGCGGGUCUUUAAGUCAGGGGUGAAAUCCUGGAGCUCAACUCCAGAACUGCCUUUGAUACUGAAGAUCUUGAGUUCGGGAGAGGUUGGUGGAACUGCGAGUGUAGAGGUGAAAUUCGUAGAUAUUCGCAAGAACACCAGUGGCGAAGGCGGCCAACUGGUCCGGUACUGACGCUGAGGUGCGAAAGCGUGGGGAGCAAACAGG